AAACUAUGGUGACAUUUCCUAUACAGGUCUUUGAAUCUCUCCCAAGCUUCAUACAAACUCUCUUAAUCAUGGUGAGCAAAAGUCAUCUCAUUUCGAAGCUU
rnacentral:snoRNA from 1 species